UACGGGGGGGGCAAGCGUUGUCCGGAUUUAUUGGGCGUAAAGAGCGUGUAGGCGGUUUGGUAGGUCCGCUGUGAAAACUCGAGGCUCAACCUCGAGACGCCGGUGGAAACCAUCAGACUAGAGUCCGGAAGAGGAGAGUGGAAUUCCUGGUGUAGCGGUGAAAUGCGCAGAUAUCAGGAAGAACACCCGUGGCUAAGGCGGCUCUCUAGUACGGUACUGACGCUGAGACGCGAAAAGCGUGGGGGAGCGAACAGG
rnacentral:rRNA from 1 species